rnacentral:lncRNA from 1 species
CUCAAUCAAGUCCUAAUUUAAUCUUAGUUGAAACCUUAAUGGACUUUAAUCAAAUCCUAGGCCAAAUCCUAAACUCUAAGCAAACCUUAAAUCUUAAUCCUAAGUAAAUUUUAAAUCCUAAAUCCUUAACACAUCUUAAAUCUUAAAUCCUUAAAAAAUCCUAAAUCAAACCUUAAACUAUAAUCUAAUUCUAAAUCCUAAUAAAACUUUAAUCAAAUUUGAAAUCCUAAUCCAAUCCUAAUCCUAAACCAAAUCCUAAACCAAA